UUUAGUCUUCAUCUUCUUCUUUGCCGCCCCACCUCUCUCACUUACCACCAUUGAAGAAAAACCAUGGAAACUUGAAUCCAAGCUUGAUUCUCACCACUAAAACCUACUUUGACCCCAAACUAGUCCACAAAAAUUUGUUAGUUCAACUUGAGGAAGCUUUAAAGGAAGGAAAGAAAAGAAGAAAAGGAAGAAAUUAGAGAGUUGAAUUUCAAAGUUAAGUGGGAAAGGAGCUCUCCAAGGAAGGAGGAGAAAUUGAACCAAGACAAGCCUAGAUAAGAGGUUUGUGCACAACUAACUCUUUUGUUAUUUUUCACUUCUAAAUUGAUUUGAACAAGUUUAUUUUAUGACUUAUGAUUUUGUUGUAUUGAGAAUUUUAAUUUAUUGAAUGAAAUUGUAUAAUUUAAAUAUAAA